rnacentral:rRNA from 1 species
UACGUAGGGCGCAAGCGUUGUCCGGAAUUAUUGGGCGUAAAGAGCUCGUAGGCGGUCUGUCGCGUUCGUUGUGAAAACUCGAGGCUCAACCUCGGGCUUGCAGUGGGUACGGGCAGACUAGAGUGCGGUAGGGGUGACUGGAAUUCCUGGUGUAGCGGUGGAAUGCGCAGAUAUCAGGAGGAACACCGAUGGCGAAGGCAGGUCACUGGGCCGCAACUGACGCUGAGGAGCGAAAGCAUGGGGAGCGAACAGG